rnacentral:lncRNA from 1 species
UUCAGAGGCAACUUUGCACUUCCGCAGCUCCUUCAAGCUGUGACGGUAUGCACGGGGUCACGGGUGCUGGCUGAGUCCUACUUGCAUGCGGGCUUUUGUAUUGCUUGCUAUCUCAGGGCUACAGCAGCCA